CUCGGGCGCCCUUGGGAGCCGCCCCAGUGGGCGUGUUGCUGUCCAGAGUUUCACUCCCAAGGCUUUCUGGAGAGGGAGCAUGGUAGAAAGGAAGGAAGCUUUGUUGUCACAGAGAGAAGCAGAACUGCUGGAUCGAAGAGCAAGUAUUUUCUUUCCAGUGAUUGUACCAAAUUUCCCUUCAAAUACUCGUGUGUAAUUUUGGACGAUGACGAAUAAGGCUGCUGUGAACAUUCUGGAACAUGUCUUUUGGUGCACACGGAGAGGAAAUGCUAGGCCCUCGGGCAAGCACAUGUUCAUCUUUAGUCAUGUACUUAGUACUUUCGUACGGUUUAGUCCUUCUUGUGCUGAUGCUGUGGGUGCCCACAGAUCCUCCCUCCACGACCAAACACUGGUUCCCCACCUGUCAGGACGUUGGCUGCUGAUGGCUCUCAGCUGAGACCCCUCCCCAGGCACUGCACUCAGCUGAAGGGAGCUGCCUGGCCAGACAAUGUACCCCUAGCCUGGUGGCAGCCCAGAUGCAAUGACUGAUGGAUGUGAGGAUAGAAAAGUCCAGCCCCCAUGUUAAUUGUGGACAUCUGUGAAGGGCCAUCCCAGCUUCAGAGCUCCCCAAGGGAUCUCCUGGGGUCUCCAUUACAAUGUUGAAUAGAAACAGUGAGGGUGAACCCCUGUGCCUUGUUACCAAUGUGAAGGGGAAAGCAACC